rnacentral:rRNA from 1 species
UGGGGAAUAUUGGACAAGGGGCGCAAGCCUGAUCCAGCCAUGCCGCGUGAGUGAUGAAGGCCCUAGGGUUGUAAAGCUCUUUCACCGGUGAAGAUAAUGACGGUAACCGGAGAAGAAGCCCCGGCUAACUUCGUGCCAGCAGCCGCGGUAAUACGAAGGGGGCUAGCGUUGUUCGGAUUUACUGGGCGUAAAGCGCACGUAGGCGGACUUUUAAGUCAGGGGUGAAAUCCCGGGGCUCAACCCCGGAACUGCCUUUGAUACUGGAAGUCUUGAGUAUGGUAGAGGUGAGUGGAAUUCCGAGUGUAGAGGUGAAAUUCGUAGAUAUUCGGAGGAACACCAGUGGCGAAGGCGGCUCACUGGACCAUUACUGACGCUGAGGUGCGAAAGCGUGGGGAGCAAACAGG